rnacentral:rRNA from 1 species
UACGUAGGGUGCAAGCGUUGUCCGGAAUUAUUGGGCGUAAAGAGCUCGUAGGCGGUCUGUCGCGUCUGCUGUGAAAACUCAGGGCUUAACCCUGAGCUUGCAGUGGGUACGGGCAGACUAGAGUGCGGUAGGGGAGACUGGAAUUCCUGGUGUAGCGGUGAAAUGCGCAGGAUAUCAGGGAGGGAACACCGGUGGGCGAAAGGCGGGUCUCUGGGCCGUAACUGACGCUGGAGGA